CAGCGCCAGGUCCCGAAGCCUGAGGCUAUGGCUCCGCUCCACUUGACAGCCGGAAGCCCGGAUACCGGAGAGCGAGAGCCGGUGUGGAAGUAAGAAGACAACUCAAAGGAGUUGGUGAUUUCCUUUCACCUUGUGGACUGAACUCAGGCCAUCCAGUUUGGUGGCAAGCCACCUAACCUGCUGAGCCAAAUCAAACGCCAUCCUAUUCUUUUUUAAACAAGGCUUCUCUGUGUAGCCAAGGAUGACCUUGAGUUCAGAGUCUCCCUCUCUGGCUUCCAGAGGUCUGGGUUGCCGGUUGUCUGCACCACUAUGCUUACAGGACCAGGACUCUCCCAGGGCAGAGGGAAAAAGAUCACCACAUUCAGACCACCUCACUAAGAACCUCUCCGAAGAUAAUUGGAACGAUGGAGUUUAUGGUUUGUCUCUGUUCCACAUUUGACCUUCAGGGGGUGCUGAGAGCUUACACCUGGCUCACUGCCAUCCACUACGAGGGCCAGACAGAGCUUGGACUCUGGUCUCUGAGCCAACCUCCUUUUCAUCACCUGGAUAAUGGGAAAGUUGUGAUUCUUUAAUAAAUGAGGAAUACA